GUUCCGUAGGUGAACCUGCGGAAGGAUCAUUAUUGUAUAACCGAGGUGCGAGGGCUGUCGCUGACCCGAAAGGUCGUGCACGCCCGAGUGCCCUCACACACAUCCAUCUCACCCCUAUGUGCACCACCGCGUGGGUCCCCCUUUGGCUUGUUCGGAGGGGGGCUUACGUUUUCACACAAACUUUGUAUGCAGUGUAGAAUGUAUUUUUUGUUUUUGCGAUCACGCAAUCAAUACAACUUUCAACAACGGAUCUCUUGGUUCUG
rnacentral:misc_RNA from 1 species